rnacentral:rRNA from 1 species
UACGUAGGGUGCAAGCGUUAAUCGGAAUUACUGGGCGUAAAGCGUGCGCAGGCGGCUUUGCAAGACAGAUGUGAAAUCCCCGGGCUCAACCUGGGAACUGCAUUUGUGACUGCAAGGCUGGAGUACGGCAGAGGGGGGAUGGAAUUCCGCGUGUAGCAGUGAAUGCGUAGAUAUGCGGAGGAACACCGAUGGCGAAGGCAAUCCCCUGGCCUGUACUGACGCUCAUGCACGAAAGCGUGGGGAGCGAAA